rnacentral:rRNA from 1 species
AGAGUUUGAUCAUGGCUCAGAACGAACGCUGGCGGCGUGGAUAAGACAUGCAAGUCGAACGGAGCAUUCUGGUAGCAAUAUCAGGAUGCUUAGUGGCAAACGGGUGCGUAACACGUGGAUAACAUUCCAGAAAGCGCGGGAUAGCCCAGGGAAACUUGGAUUAAUACCGCAUGUGGUCGCAAGACUAAAGGCGCAAGCCGCUUUCUGAUUGGUCCGCGGCCUAUCAGCUAGUUGGUGAGGUAAAAGCUCACCAAGGCAACGACGGGUAGCUGGUCUGAGAGGACGACCAGCCACACUGGAACUGAGACACGGUCCAGACACCUACGGGUGGCAGCAGUCGAGAAUCUUUCACAAUGGGGGCAACCCUGAUGGAGCGACGCCGCGUGGAGGAUAAGGUCUUCGGAUUGUAAACUCCUGUCAUGCGAGAGCAAGACAUGGCAACAUGUUUGAUAGUAUCGCAAGAGGAAGAGACGGCUAACUCUGUGCCAGCAGCCGCGGUAAUACAGAGGUCUCAAGCGUUGUUCGGAAUCACUGGGCGUAAAGGGUGCGUAGGCUGCGGAGAAAGUCUGGUGUGAAAUUUGCGAGCUCAACUCGCAACUAGCACCUGAUACUACUUUGCUAGAGAUCUGGAGAGGAGCUUGGAAUUCUCGGUGUAGCAGUGAAAUGCGUAGAUUUCGAGAAGAACGCUCGCUGCGAAAGCGAAGCUCUGGCCAGAUUCUGACGCUGAGGCACGAAGGCUAGGGGAGCAAACGGGAUUAGAUACCCCGGUAGUCC